CGGGGAGUAGCGCAGUUGGCUAGCGCGCUUGCUUUGGGAGCAAGAGGUCGAGAGUUCAAAUCUCUCCUCCCCGACCA
rnacentral:tRNA from 1 species